rnacentral:rRNA from 1 species
UACGAAGGGGGCUAGCGUUGUUCGGAAUUACUGGGCGUAAAGCGUGCGCAGGCGGUUUUGUAAGUCUGUCGUGAAAUCCCCGGGCUCAACCUGGGAAUGCAUUGUGACUGCAUAGCUAGAGUACGGUAGAGGGGGGAUGGAAUUCCGCGUGUAGCAGUGAAAUGCGUAGAUAUGCGGAGGAACACCGAUGGCGAAGGCAAUCCCCUGGACCUGUACUGACGCUCAUGCACGAAAGCGUGGGGAGCAAACAGG